rnacentral:rRNA from 1 species
AUACCGGGCCUUUUUGGGCUUGGUAAUUGGAAUGAGGGAGAGUUAAACGGACCAUCGAGUAUCCAUUGGAGGGCAAGUCUGGUGCCAGCAGCUGCGGUAAUACCAGCUCCAAUAGCGUAUAUUAGAGUUGUUGCAGUUAAAAAGCUCGUAGUUGGACUUGUGUGCGCUGUCCGCGGGUGGCCUGCGCCCAAAAGGGCGUUUCGGUUCGGCCCCGGUGGCGCCUUGAAAUCUGCAGCUGGGGGGACGUUGGCCUUAACUGGUCGGCGACCGCACGCCGGCUGCUCGGUUACUGUGAGAAAAUUAGAGUGUUCAAGGCAGGCAUUGGGUGCAAUUGAAUACAUUAGCAUGGAAUAAUAAAAUAUGGCUCCUGCCGUAUUUUGUUGGUUUUGACUGGUGGGAGUAAUGAUUGAUAGGGACGGUUGGGGGUGCUAGUAUUGAGCGGCCAGAGGUGAAAUUCAUGGAUUCGCUCAAGACUAACUUAUGCGAAAGCAUUCACCAAGGACGUCCUCUUUAAUCAAGAACGAAAGUUGGGGGAUCGAAGACGAUCAGAUACCGUCGUAGUCUCAACCAUAAACUAUGUCGACUUGGGAUCGGCGGUAGUUUUUUCAUUAAGACACUGUCGGGACCACGGGAGAAAUCAAAGUGUCUGGACUCUGGGGGAAGUAUGGUCGCAAGGCUGAAACUUGAAGGAAUUGACGGAAGGGCACCACCAGGAGUGGAGCCUGCGGCUUAAUUUGACACAACACGGGGAAACUUACCAGGUCCAGAGAUGUAGAGGAUUGACAGAUUGAAGCUCUUUCUUGAUCACUUCGGUGGUGGAGCAUGGCCGUUCUUAGUUGGUGGAGUGAUUUGUCUGGUUAAUUCCGUUAACGAACGAGACCUCAGCCUGCUAGUGUAGUCGGCUGGAUUGCCUUUGGCGAUCCGUGAUUUCGACUUCUUAGAGGGACAAUCGACGCGCAGUCGAUGGAAGUUUGAGGCAAUAACAGGUCUGUGAUGCCCUUAGAUGUUCUGGCCGCACGCGCGCUACACUGCUGGGCUCAGCGAGUUUUACUUGGCCGAGAGGCCCGGUUAAUCUUGUGAAAUCCCAGCGUGCUUGGGCUCGCCUCCUGCAACUGGAGGCGCCAACGAGGAAUUCCUAGUAGACGCAGGUCAUCAACCUGCAUCGAUUACGUCCCUGCCCUUUGUACACACCGCCCGUCGUUCCAUAAGAGUGAGGCAUCCGGUGAAUUCUCGGGAGAGCCUGGGCGUGGCCAGCAAUGGUCUGCUCGGGUUUGAACUUGCAUAAACUUGGUGCCUAUGAUUAGGG